GUUUGAACUAAACACUCAGAAAAACAAUGUCGUUCCUCUUCAUUGUGCUUUUCACUCUUGCUGAUGUCGCAGAGGCUGCUGACAAUAGCAUUAAACCAGAUCAAACCAAUGUAUUUUCAACGGAAGGCAGCAACAUCUCACUGUCCUGCACAUAUACUGGAUCAGUUUACAGUUUCCACUGGUAUCGACACAAACCUGUAUCAAGACCUGAGUUUCUGUUGCUGAUUGAUGAGAGAGGUAAAUAUGUCACACCAGCUCAACCACCUCAUCCACGAUUGUCCAUAAAACUUAAAAAUGAUCAAGAUAAAAAGAGUAAGAAAGUGGAUCUGAUCAUCUCCUCUGCUGCUGUAUCAGACUCUGCUCUAUACUACUGUGCUCUGCAGCCCACUUUUGCCCUGGGUGUGGGCUUCCUGGGUGCUAGCACUUCAUGGGUGUGGGCUUCUAAAGACAUGUAA